rnacentral:lncRNA from 1 species
CUGCCGUUUGCGACGACAACAUGGAUACACUUGGAAGGCAGAUGCUGAGAUGAGCCAGACAGAGAAGGAGAAAGACUGCAUGGUGAGGAGGCUGGCCUCUGACAUCCAUUUCUGAUACGAAAUUCCAGGACUUUAAGGAGAAGUUGGAGUUUUAUCUCUGUCGUCGGUGUUUUGAACAGAAAAUAGAGGAUUUUUAGGGUGUAGAUAGAGUUUUCGUUUAUUUUUUCUUUUCAGUUGAUUUUGGAAGAAAAAUGAUGAAGGGGAGGAAGAGUUGGCUUUUGUUGUUGGGUUAGAGGAGUGAGAUUAGAUUUCUUGGAAAAUAGUCAAACAUACCAGAGUGGAUCUUUCAAUGACUGGCAAGAAUUUGCUUGGCAGGAAAAUUGCUGACUUGAUGAAGAGGGCUUCUCCACUCAAUUUUCCGGAGGAGGGAGAAAAAGAUCUUGGCAAACCAGCUUAAUGCCCCAUCGUGAAGAUGCCUGCUCCCUUUGAGCUGGAUUAGUUGCUGCCGUCCCUGUUUCCACAGAAAGCUGGAGCCAAGGGCUAGGAGAAAGGCCAAAGGGCCCAUGCAGGAGCAGCAGCGCAUACAGGAUGGACAUUUAAUAAGUGCAUGAAUGAAUGAAUGAAAGUAAGACCAACUAAUAGCCAAGAGAAGAACGCCUUUCUGGGAAGAGACAGGCAGGGGCAGCAAUCGUGACUUCCGUGAGUCCCAGAAAAAAGCCACGCUCCGCCACUGCUUGAAGCUGUGUCAUAACCAGGGACUGGAACAGAAUUAGCUAGAGCCGGAAGACAGAGCCAAUGAG